rnacentral:rRNA from 1 species
GGUAUCCUGUCUGAAUAUGGGGGGACCAUCCUCCAAGGCUAAAUACUCCUGACUGACCGAUAGUGAACCAGUACCGUGAGGGAAAGGCGAAAAGAACCCCGGCGAGGGGAGUGAAAAAGAACCUGAAACCGUGUACGUACAAGCAGUGGGAGCCUCUUUAUGGGGUGACUGCGUACCUUUUGUAUAAUGGGUCAGCGACUUAUAUUCUGUAGCAAGGUUAACCGAAUAGGGGAGCCGAAGGGAAACCGAGUCUUAACUGGGCGUUAAGUUGCAGGGUAUAGACCCGAAACCCGGUGAUCUAGCCAUGGGCAGGUUGAAGGUUGGGUAACACUAACUGGAGGACCGAACCGACUAAUGUUGAAAAAUUAGCGGAUGACUUGUGGCUGGGGGUGAAAGGCCAAUCAAACCGGGAGAUAGCUGGUUCUCCCCGAAAGCUAUUUAGGUAGCGCCUCGUGAAUUCAUCUCCGGGGGUAGAGCACUGUUUCGGCAAGGGGGUCAUCCCGACUUACCAACCCGAUGCAAACUGCGAAUACCGGAGAAUGUUAUCACGGGAGACACACGGCGGGUGCUAACGUCCGUCGUGAAGAGGGAAACAACCCAGACCGCCAGCUAAGGUCCCAAAGUCAUGGUUAAGUGGGAAACGAUGUGGGAAGGCCCAGACAGCCAGGAUGUUGGCUUAGAAGCAGCCAUCAUUUAAAGAAAGCGUAAUAGCUCACUGGUCGAGUCGGCCUGCGCGGAAGAUGUAACGGGGCUAAACCAUG